rnacentral:rRNA from 1 species
GCGUAGAAGCUUCUGAUGGUGGGUCUGUUCGCCCUUUAAAAUCUAACAUGAGCUGAGUUCAGAACGGCGUGAGCUAGUUCAGUUUCUAUCCUCUUUUUGAAACGAGCUAAUUUUGUACGAAAGGACUUUUUCGCUAAAGCAAUGCUUUGUCACAAAUCUGUGGUUGCAUAAAUAAUAAGGUAUAAUAGGUUGAUUAGCCUAUAGGAAGGGUUA